UUUUUAAUUUAUUUAUUUAUUAUAUGAAAGUACAUUGUAGCUGUCUUCAGACACUUCAGAAGAGGGAGUCAGAUCUCGUUUACAGAUGGUUGUGAGCCACCAUGUGGUUGCUGGGAUUUGAACUCUGGACCUUCAGAAGAGCAGUCGGGUGCUCUUACCCACUGAGCCAUCUCACCAGCCCGAAGCACGACUUCUUAAAGACGUCUUCCCUUCUGAGAGAGUCUAUGUGGGGCAGGGGUACUGUGGCCAUGAGAGUUAAGGGGAAAGUGACACUACUACGUAGAAACCCCUAGAGUAGAUGGCUAUAGGUUCCACACAAGGAUUUCACUUGUCUGUCGUGUGUUCAUGAGCUGCUUGGUAUGAAACUUGAACAUUUUUUCCUAGGUAUGACCAAUGUCAAACAAAACUUAUUUUUUGGUCUGUAAAGGGCAUUUCCAUUUGUUGAGCACCUCUUUUGUUGUUCAGAGCUGUACUGUAGGAACCUUGACUAGUAAAAAUAUG
rnacentral:lncRNA from 1 species